AUUGAACGCUGGCGGAAUGCUUUACACAUGCAAGUCGAACGGCAGCACGGGGGCAACCCUGGUGGCGAGUGGCGAACGGGUGAGUAAUACAUCGGAACGUGCCCAGUCGUGGGGGAUAACGUAGCGAAAGUUACGCUAAUACCGCAUACGAUCUACGGAUGAAAGCGGGGGACCGUAAGGCCUCGCGCGAUUGGAGCGGCCGAUGUCAGAUUAGGUAGUUGGUGAGGUAAAGGCUCACCAAGCCGACGAUCUGUAGCUGGUCUGAGAGGACGACCAGCCACACUGGGACUGAGACACGGCCCAGACUCCUACGGGAGGCAGCAGUGGGGAAUUUUGGACAAUGGGCGCAAGCCUGAUCCAGCCAUUCCGCGUGCAGGACGAAGGCCUUCGGGUUGUAAACUGCUUUUGUACGGAACGAAAGGGCUCUGGUUAAUACCUGGGGCUCAUGACGGUACCGUAAGAAGAAGCACCGGCCAACUACGUGCCAGCCGCCGCCGUAA
rnacentral:rRNA from 1 species